rnacentral:rRNA from 1 species
UACGGGGGGAGCAAGCGUUGUUCGGAUUUACUGGGCGUAAAGGGCGCGUAGGCGGUCAGCACAAGUCAGUUGUGAAAUCUCCGGGCUUAACCCGGAAAGGUCAACUGAUACUGUGCGACUAGAGUGCGGAAGGGGCAACUGGAAUUCUCGGUGUAGCGGUGAAAUGCGUAGAUAUCGAGAGGAACACCUGCGGCGAUGGCGGGUUGCUGGGCCGACACUGACGCUGAUGCGCGAAAGCCAGGGGAGCGAACGGG